GUCUUCCGGCGGAAGUUGUCGCUUCACCGCAGUCGCAGCCUCCGUCCCAGUCGUGAGGGGUCCGAGGGUCCAGUCCUUGUGUUGUCUUCGCCCCGGCUCCCCGCCAUCCAGAGACCCAGGGGUCAGACGAGGGUCGGGGGUGGGGACACGCAUCCUAGCCACUGUCCUGCCUGGGAUCCGGUCUCCCCCGCCCCCCAGCUGCAGGUGGAUAAAGAGGAAGAUGUGAAGAGGAAGCAGACAAAAGCAAAAGGAAAUCCUGCCAGUAGCAAACGGCCAAAUUACAAUUCAGAUGUGCAAUGUUUGCACACUGUCCUAUAGCAAAGGAGAUGUGUAUAGAAGCUCUGAAGAACCUGGAAUUUUAAGCCAUAGCCCACUUCAGAAUUGUAUUCUAGUCACUGAAAAUUUAAUACUGCCACAUUUUGUGGAGAUUCUAUCUCUGGCAGUAGUUCUUCACUGGGAAACUUUUUUUUUUUUUUUUUGAGACAAGGUCUCACUCUGUCACUCUGUCGCCCAGGCUAGAGUGCAGUGGUGCAAUCUUGGCUCACUGCACCCUCCACCUCCCGGGUUCAAGCGAUUCUCCUGCCUCAGCCUCCCGAGUAGCUGGGAUUACAGGCAUGUGCCACCACGCCUGGCUAAUUUUCUAUUUUUAGUAGAGAUGGGGUUUCUCCAUGUUGGCCAGGCUGUUCUCCCAACCUCUGGUGAUCCGCCUGCCUUGGCCUCCCAAAGUGCUGGGAUUACAGGCGUGAGCCACCAUGCAUGGCCAGCUUGUCAUAUUUUUAAAAGACAACCCUGUGAUGUUAGAUUGGAAUUAGAUGCAUUUGUGUGAACAUGAUAUAUGAUGCAGAUACAGAAAUAACUAUAAAUGUGCAAGUCCCCUAGCUCUAUCCUAUGAGAAAGUCUGGGAGCUGCAAUACCCUAGUGGAAAUAGGCACACCCAGCACCCAGAUCUCGUUUCCAAACACCCCUCUCCACUAUACGGAAGCAGCGCUCCUUGAAGAUGUGGCCAGUUACAGGGUCAUGAAAAAACAAGACAAACCCGGAACACCUUGUGCUUCAAGGGGACAGCAGUAACCUCACCAGUAACUGGACAGAAAGACACAGAAUAGGAUAAAAAGAACAGAGUCUGUGACAUUCAGGCUUCAAAUACACAGGUGGGGUCUAAUCAUGCAGAAACAUAAAUCCACAUUGAAAGACUUUCUUCAAAAUGAUCAGCCUAUAACCUCCACAAACGCCAAAAUCGUGGAGGUUCAGGAAGACUGAGGAACGGCACCAGGUGGACAGAAACGAGCACUGUGAUGAAUGGGGUGAAGCACGUGAUCCUGGGCUGUAGCCUUUGCUCUAAAGGAAUAGUCUCUGGGCAAAGGAGUGUACAGGAGUUCUUGGUACUCUUCUUGCCUAUUUUCCGCUGCAAUCUACUCGGCUUGCUGCUGCCCACGCCGCGGACUGCCUGGGACUGCCGGCGCGCGCCACCGCCUGCCUUUUCGCUGCAGGCACGCGUUCGCCAUCUUGGCCACGCUGGUCGCCAGCUCCUGACGCCGAGUGCUCUGCCCGCCUCAGCCUCCCGAGGUACUGGGAUUGCAGACGGAGUCUCGCUCACCCAGUGCUCGGUGUUGCCCGCGCUGGAGCGCGGUGGCGUGGUCUGGCCUCGCGGCAGCCCCCGCCCCCCAGCCGCCUACCUUGGCCUACCAGGGUGCUGGGAUUGUAGCCCCUGCCCGGCCGCCGCCCCAUCUGGGAGGUGGGAAGCGCCUCUGCCCGGCCGCCCCGUCUGGGAGGUGAGGAGCGCCUCUGCCCGGCCACCCACCGUCUGGGAAGUGAGGAGCGCCUCUGCCCGGCCACCCACCGUCUGGGAAGUGAGGAGCGCCUCUGCCCGGCCACCCACCGUCUGGGAAGUGAGGAGCGCCUCUCCCCGGCCACCCACCGUCUGGGAAGUGAGGAGCGCCUCUGCCCGGCCACCCACCGUCUGGGAAGUGAGGAGCGCCUCUGCCCGGCCACCCACCGUCUGGGAAGUGAGGAGCGCCUCUGCCCGGCCACCCACCGUCUGGGAAGUGAAGAGCGCCUCUGCCCGGCCACCCACCGUCUGGGAACUGAGGAGCGCCUCUGCCCGGGCGCCCCGUCCGGGAAGAAGUGAGGAGCGCCUCUGCCCGGCCGCCCCGUCCGGGAAGAAGUGAGGAGCGCCUCUGCCCAACCGCCCCGUCCGGGAAGAAGUGAGGAGCGCCUCUGCCCGGCCGCCCCGUCCGGGAAGAAGUGAGGAGCGCCUCUGCCCGGCCGCCUCGUCUGGGAGGUGAGGAGUGCCUCUGCCCGGCCACCCAUCGUCUGGGAGGUGAGGAGCGCCUCUGCCCGGCCACCCAUCGUCUGGGAGGUGAAGAGCGCCUCUGCCCGGCCGCCCCAUCUGGGAAGUGAGGAGCGCCUCUGCCCGGCCACCCAUCGUCUGGGAAGUGAGGAGCGCCUCUGCCCGGCCACCCAUUGUCUGGGAGGUGAGGAGCGCCUCUGCCCGGCCACCCAUCGUCUGGGAAGUGAGGAGCGCCUCUGCCCGGGCGCCCCGUCCGGCAAGAAGUGAGGAGUGCCUCUGCCCGGGCGCCCCAUCCGGGAAGAAGUGAGGAGCGCCUCUGCCCGGCCUCCCAUCGUCUGGGAGGUGAGGAGCGCCUCUGCCCGGCCACCCCGUCCGGGAGGAAGUGAGGAGCGCCUCUGCCCGGCCGCCCCGUCUGGGAAGAAGUGAGGAGCGCCUCUGCCCGGGCGCCCCGUCCGGGAAGAAGUGAGGAGCGCCUCUGCCCGGCCUCCCAUCGUCUGGGAGGUGAGGAGCGCCUCUGCCCGGCCUCCCAUCGUCUGGGAGGUGAGGAGUGCCUCUGCCCGGCCACCCAUCGUCUGGGAGGUGAAGAGCGCCUCUGCCCGGCCACCCAUCGUCUGGGAGGUGAGGAGCACCUCUGCCCGGCCGCCCCAUCUGGGAAGUGAGGAGUGCCUCUGCCCGGCCACCCAUCGUCUGGGAGGUGAGGAGCGCCUCUGCCCGGCCACCCAUCGUCUGGGAGGUGAGGAGCGCCUCUGCCCGGCCGCCCCAUCUGGGAAGUGAGGAGUGCCUCUGCCCGGCCACCCAUCGUCUGGGAAGUGAGGAGCGCCUCUGCCUGGCCACCCAUCGUCUGGGAAGUGAGGAGCGCCUCUGCCCGGCCACCUAUCGUCUGGGAAGAAGUGAGGAGCGUCUCUGCCUGGCCGCCCCGUCUGGGAAGUGAGGAGCUCCUCUGCCUGGCCGCUCCGUCUGGGAGGUCUACCACGGAGGCCAGAAGCAAUGUGGGGGCUGGACGUGGUGGCUCACGCCUGUGGUCCCGGCACUCUGGGGGGGUGAGGCGGGUUGAUCACUUCGGGCUAGGAGUUCGAGACCAGUCUGGCCAACUUGGCGAAACAUGAAGAAUACAACAGACAGACCAACCAACCAACUCAGUGACAACAAAACAGGUCUACCCUGGAGUCAUACUCUAAUUUUUUCUAUUUUCCUCCCUUUCUGAUCCUUUAUCCCACUUUCUUUUUCUUCCUCUUCCUUCUCCCUCUUCUUUGUCAAAUAGAGGAUUGAGUUAUUAUCACUGAUCCAUAUAAAGUCCCUCUCUCAUUUAUUUUAACUCCCACCCCCCAUUUCUAUUCCCCGACUUCCCAUGUGCAACCUUCCUAAUAUGUUUGAUACGCAUCUUUUUGUUUGUAUGUAUUUUUAGAAAAUGUUUAUUGUUUUUGUAUGCAAAAAAAUUAAUAAAAAAAAAGUAAAAAAAAAAAUAAUAAUAAUAAUAAAAAAUAAAAAAAUAGUAAAGUGUCAA